GACAUUCUGGGAUAUGUGAAGGCCGACUAUAUGUAGAGUCAUUUACCAAAUUAAGGACCAUAAUAAUUAGACAAUGUGAUGAGUUAGAGCAUAGCUUCUCAAUCUCUAUGGCAAGAAACCUUUCACAUUUCCAAAAAGUCGAAGUGACUGAUUGCAAGAACCUAAAAGAGAUUUUUAGUGAUGAAGAAAUUGAAGAAUCUACAGAACAUGCUAAUCAAAGGGUUGUGUUCCCAAAACUUUUAAGGUUGACUAUGAAGGUUCAUUGUCCAAGCUUGGAGAAGAUGAUACUCUCACACUUGGAUAACAUCCCGUAAAUAUGGCACAAUAAACUGGAAGCAGAUUCUUUUUGCAAACUCAAGGUUUUGAGAGUUGAAUUUGUGAAAAAUUACCCAGUUUUGUUUGUCCUGACACACUCAGAAGAUUACCAAAGAAUCCACAAAGACUUCACACCUUUCAAAAUCAAGAAAUUGUAAGGGUUACAAAAUGUUGGAGUAUGAAAAACCUCUUUCCAGUCUCUAUAGAUGCAGGUCUCUGGAAACUUAGAAGAGAUUGAGAUAAACUCUUGUGGGUUGGAGGAAAUUGUUGCCAUGGAGAAAGUAGAAGCGCCUCCUAAGUUUGAGUUUCCUCAACUAAAUUUCUUGCAACUUGUGGAUUUACCAGAACUCAAAAGUUUGUA